rnacentral:rRNA from 1 species
UACGUAGGGGGCGAGCGUUGUCCGGAUUUAUUGGGCGUAAAGAGCGUGUAGGCGGCCAGGUAGGUCUGCUGUGAAAACUCGAGGCUCAACCUCGAGACGUCGGCGGAAACCAUCUGGCUAGAGUCCGGAAGAGGAGAGUGGAAUUCCUGGUGUAGCGGUGGAAUGCGCAGAUAUCAGGAGGAACACCAACGGCGAAGGCAGCCCGCUGGGACGGUACUGACGCUAAGGCGCGAAAGCGUGGGGAGCGAACAGG